rnacentral:tRNA from 1 species
CAGCCAGGUGGUGCUCGGCAUCCACCACGGGGUGGCCGACGGCCGCUCGGCCUUCGCGCUGCUCGACGAGUUCUGGCGGUACUACACCGCCCUGGCCGCC